GUAGGUGGCAAGCGUUGUCCGGGAAUUAUUGGGGCGUAAAGCGCGCGCAGGCGGUUCUUUAAGUCUGAUGUGAAAGCCCACGGGCUCAACCGUGGGAGGGUCAUUGGAAACUGGAGAACUUGAGUACAGAAGAGGAAAGCGGAAUUCCACGUGUAGCGGUGAAAUGCGUAGAGAUGUGGAGGAACACCAGUGGCGAAGGCGGCUUUCUGGUCUGUAACUGACGCUGAGGCGCGAAAGCGUGGGGAGCAAACAGGAUUAGAUACCCUGGUAGUCCACGCCGUAAACGAUGAGUGCUAAGUGUUAGGGGAUUUCCGCCCCUUAGUGCUGCAGCUAACGCAUUAAGCACUCCGCCUGGGGAGUACGGCCGCAAAGGCUGA
rnacentral:rRNA from 1 species